rnacentral:rRNA from 1 species
AUUGAACGCUGGCGGCAGGCCUAACACAUGCAAGUCGAGCGGAUGAAGAGAGCUUGCUCUCUGAUUUAGCGGCGGACGGGUGAGUAAUGCCUAGGAAUCUGCCUGGUAGUGGGGGGUAACGUUCCGAAAGGAACGCUAAUACCGCGUACGUCCUACGGGAGAAAGCAGGGGACCUUCGGGCCUUGCGCUAGCAGAUGAGCCUAGGUCGGAUUAGCUAGUAGGUGAGGUAAGGGCUCACCUAGGCGACGAUCCGUAACUGGUCUGAGAGGAUGAUCAGUCACACUGGAACUGAGACACGGUCCAGACUCCUACGGGAGGCAGCAGUGGGGAAUAUUGGACAAUGGGCGAAAGCCUGAUCCAGCCAUGCCGCGUGUGUGAAGAAGGUCUUCGGAUUGUAAAGCACUUUAAGUUGGGAGGAAGGGCAGUAAGUUAAUACCUUGCUGUUUUGACGUUACCAACAGAAUAAGCACCGGCUAACUUCGUGCCAGCCGCCGCCGUAAGAC